rnacentral:rRNA from 1 species
GACGAACGCUGGCGGCGUGCUUAACACAUGCAAGUCGAACGAAGAGCGAUGGAAGCUUGCUUCUAUCAAUCUUAGUGGCGAACGGGUGAGUAACGCGUAAUCAACCUGCCCUUCAGAGGGGGACAACAGUUGGAAACGACUGCUAAUACCGCAUACGAUCUAAUCUCGGCAUCGAGGAUAGAUGAAAGGUGGCCUCUACAUGUAAGCUAUCACUGAAGGAGGGGAUUGCGUCUGAUUAGCUAGUUGGAGGGGUAACGGCCCACCAAGGCGAUGAUCAGUAGCCGGUCUGAGAGGAUGAACGGCCACAGUGGGACUGAGACACGGCCCAGACUCCUACGGGAGGCAGCAGUGGGGAAUCUUCCGCAAUGGACGAAAGUCUGACGGAGCAACGCCGCGUGAGGGAUGACGGCCUUCGGGUUGUAAAGCUCUGUUAAUCGGGACGAAAGGCCUUCUUGCGAAUAGGGAGAAGGAUUGACGGUACCGGAAUAGAAAGCCACGGCUAACUACGUG